rnacentral:rRNA from 1 species
AGCAGCCGCGGUAAUUCCAGCUCCAAUAGCGUAUAUUAAAGUUGUUGCAGUUAAAAAGCUCGUAGUUGAAUUUCGGGAUCAAAUUGUCGGUCGUGCCUCGGUACGCACUGGUAUUAUUGGUUCCUACCUUCUGAAGAACCGCGAUGUCAUUAAUUUGGUGUCGUGGGGAAUCAGGACUGUUACUUUGAAAAAAUUAGAGUGUUUAAAGCAGGCUUACGCUUGAAUACAUUAGCAUGGAAUAAUGAAAUAGGACGUUUGAUUCUAUUUUGUUGGUUUUUGUUGGUUUCUAGGAUUGACGUAAUGAUUAAUAGGGAUAGUUGGGGGCAUUAGUAUUCAAUUGUCAGAGGUGAAAUUCUUGGAUUUAUUGAAGACUAACUACUGCGAAAGCAUUUGCCAAGGAUGUUUUCAUUAAUCAAGAACGAAAGUUAGGGGAUCGAAGACGAUCAGAUACCGUCGUAGUCUUAACCAUAAACUAUGCCGACUAGGGAUCGGAUGAUGUUAAUUUUUUAAUGACUCAUUCGGCGCCUUACG